rnacentral:rRNA from 1 species
AGACAGCAGUCGCCGCGGGAAUACGAAGGGUGCAAGCGUUAAUCGGAAUUACUGGGCGUAAAGCGUGCGUAGGCGGUGAGUUAAGUCUGCUGUGAAAUCCCCGGGCUCAACCUGGGAAUGGCAGUGGAUACUGGCUCGCUAGAGUGUGUCAGAGGAUGGUGGAAUUCCCGGUGUAGCGGUGAAAUGCGUAGAGAUCGGGAGGAACAUCAGUGGCGAAGGCGACUAUCUGGGCCAACACUGACACUGAGGCACGAAAGCGUGGGGAGCAAACAGGAUUAGAGACCCCCGUAGUCCCUGUCUCUUAUAC